GGGCGGGUAGCGCAGUGGUCAGCGCAUUCCCUGAGCGUUUCUCUUCUCUUUCCUACCUAAGCGGAUUUCAGCGUUGAUUUCUAAUUAUAUGUUACAAGCGUUCAUUGGAAGACCUGGGUUCGAAUCCCAGCCCGCCCA